CACGUAGGGGGCAAGCGUUGUCCGGAUUUAUUGGGCGUAAAGAGCUCGUAGGCGGUUCGGCAAGUCGGGUGUGAAACCCCCAGGCUCAACCUGGGGACGCCACCCGAUACUGCUGUGACUUGAGUCCGGUAGGGGAGCGUGGAAUUCCUGGUGUAGCGGUGAAAUGCGCAGAUAUCAGGAGGAACACCAGCGGCGAAGGCGGUUCUCUGGGCAUUACCUGACGCUGAGGAGCGAAAGUGUGGGGAGCGAACAGG
rnacentral:rRNA from 1 species